UCUGAUGAUGUCCGUGAAUGAGAUGUCACGAGGGAACGUGUUCACCUGAGGAAAGGGGGGAGCCCCAGGUCCGUGGAUCAACAGAUCGCGGAUACCCGGAGGCGAGAGCUGCGGGAUCAAUCCCUUAUUCCAAGACUUAGCCUCUCUAAUCGAAGCUAAAAGCUAGAUUAGGGGAGGGGCUUGGCACGGCAGCGAUUUCGGCACUAAACAGAAGCAGAUUAGGCGUUGUGGAAGCGGCGAUGGCAGGGAAGAACUCGACCUGGGUCGGAGGCGGCGAAUGGAAAAGUGAAUGGGGAAAUUUUUAUAUUCAAAAAUCGAUGCCGAACAAAGAUUCACGAUAGUCUUUUUAUCUAACAGGACUUAAAUGUAAAUACUUAAAAUAAAAAGAGUUUUUUUGCAAAAUUCCCCAUAACUCCUGGGUUCGACCAGAUUGGCUUAGCCACCCUUGAAAUUGACCUGGUAAUCCUUCAUCCACGUCGGUCGUUUCCCCUCCCGGUUCGAUGGCUCGCGUACGCCACUGACUCGGUCCGGUGCAGGACGACUCGGGUCUUCCUCAGAUGGCACGUCCGGUUCCUCUUCCUCAGGCGUGUCUUCUUCCUCAAGUGCGUCCGAGUUCCCUUCCAUUGUUAUCCGGCGCACGUCGUCCUCAAUCUCCCGGAAAUCAAUUUGCUGGACUGCAUCAUCUGUGGCCCCGUCACUAACCAGUUCGUCCUCGAACUGCAAACCAGGGUACAAGCGCUUCAACACGACAGCAUCAACCCAAGAAGAAUCCUCUGGCCACGUUCCACUCCACUGAACUAGUAGCUGCUUUGUAAGUUUUUUUGCUUUUUCCACGAUCCUGUAAUCAAGAAUGCAAAUUGGAUAUAUUAUGGGUUGAUUAUUUAUUGCUAGAAUCGGUGGUUCUUGUUCCCGGGUGUCAAUCGGUCCAGAGAAUUUCCUUAGUUUAGAAACAUGGAACACAUUGUGAAUUUUGCUCCCUGCUGGAAAUUGUAGUUUGUAUGCUGUAGGAUUGAUCUUUUUGAUAAUUUUAUAAGGCCCAAAAUACUUCUGCCCUAGUUUAUUGCUCAGUUUGUGGCUGAGACUGAUUUGUCUGUACGGCUGAAGUUUUACCAGUACAUACUCCCCCUCUUGAAAGUCGAUAUCACUUCGGUGACGGUCUGCUUGCAACUUCAUACGAGCUUGGGCUUUAGACAAAUUUUUCUUUAAGAUCUCUAAUACUUCAUUUCUGUCCUGUAACUCCAUUUCCACAGCAUCAACCUCUGAUGUUCCCUGGCAGAAAUAUGGAAUAGAGUCUGGAUUCUUACCAUACAAGGCCUUGAACGGAGACAUAUUGAUAGCAGAUUGGUAGCUUGUGUUAUACCAAAGUUCGGCCCAUGGUAACAACUUCAACCAUCUCUUUGGGUCUUCAUAACAAUAUGAUCGGAGAUACAUUUGAAGUAUUCGAUUUACCACUUCAGUUUGACCGUCAGAUUGCGGAUGGUAUGCUGAAGAAAAAUGGAGAUCAGUCCCGCUGAUCUGAUUUAAGCAUUUCCAGAACCUUGAUGUAAAUACCUUAUCCCUGUCUGAAACAAUGGACUUAGGAAUACCAUGGAGCUUCAUGAUAUUAUUGGUGAAUUCUUCUGCCACUAAGGUUGCAUUGAAGUUUCGUGGGAGAGGAAUAAAGUGUGCAGAUUUAGAGAGUCGAUCCACCACAACCAUAAUUACUGAUUUUCCCUGAACUUUCGGUAAAUCAGUGAUAAAAUCCAUAGAAACAUCUGACCAGAUAGAUUCUGGCAUGGGCAGAGGCAUCAAUAAGCCAGCAGGCUUCCGGUUGACCGGUUUCAUUUUCUGACAAAUCACGCAUGUGCUUACAUAAUCCUUAAUUGAUUUGGUCAUACCUGUCCACCAAAAAUAAGUUGAAAUUCGUCUCAGUGUCCUAUAAAUUCCAGAGUGGCCCCCGACUGGUGAAUCAUGGAACUGGUGCAGGAUUUUAGUAAUCAAUGGUGAUUCAGCCCUUAAGUAGUAUUUGUCUUUGAAAGUGAUGGCUCCUUCCUUGAUGCCAUAUGAUGAAGGGUCGAGCUCCCCGGACUGAAUUUUCUUCGUCAUAACUUGGAGGUCAUUAUUAUGGAGUACUUCUUGCCGCAAUUCAUCAAGGAUUGAAUUAACAGGUACUGAAAAGGAUAAUAAAGAACCUGGAUCCUUAGCUGAACUGUUAGUAAAUAGAAUUUCUUCUUUGUCCUCUUCAAGUGACCUAGAUAAUGCAUCUGCCACUACAUUCUCCUUGCCGGGUUUGUAUAUGAUAGAGAAGUCGAAGCCUAAGAGCUUGCAUAGAAAUACCUGCUGUUCUGGAGUCUGAAUAGUCUGAGUGAGCAAGUUUUUCAAUGUUUUAUGGUCUGUCUUUAUUAGAAAAUGAUUCCCCAGCAAAUAGUGCCUCCAUUUACCCACUGCCUGGGUAAUAGCAAACAUCUCCUUUACGUAAAUAGACGCAGCCAGCAGUCUACCCGUGAUCUUACAACUAUAGAAAGAUAUGGGAUGGUUUUCCUGUAAAAGAACAGCCCCAACACCUGUAUUGCAUGCAUCAGUCUCCACUAUAAAGGUCCGAUUAAAGUCUGGAAAUGCAAGAACUGGGGCACUAGUCAUCGCCUCCUUUAGCUUUUGAAAACUUGAGGUGGCUUCUUCGUUCCAUGAGAAACUGUCUUUUUUCAGAAGGUUGGUCAUAGGCGUAGCAAUCAGGGCGUAGUUCUUGAUGAACCUUCUGUAAUAACCUGUGAGUCCAAGGAAUCCUCUGAGUUUCUUCAAGGAAUUGGGAAUGGGCCAUUCCACCAUAGCUUUAAUCUUCUCCAGAUCUGGAUGAAUGCCAUCAGAAGCGAUGAUGUGGCCUAAAAACCCCAUAGAUGGUUUGCCAAAUAGACACUUGGAAAGCUUAGCCAAUAACUUGUGUUCUCGUAGAACUUCAAAGACUGAUCUUAGGUGGCUGAUGUGUGUCUCAACUGUGGGACUGUAAAUCAAUAUGUCAUCGAAAAAUAUCAAAACAAAUUUCCUGAGAUAUGGGGCGAAGACAGAAUUCAUAACAGAUUGAAAUGUGCUCGGGGCAUUAGUUAGGCCGAAAGGCAUAACCAUAAAUUCGUAAUGACCUUGGUGGGUCCUGAAAGCUGUCUUUUCGACGUCAGACGGGUGGACUCUUAUCUGGUGAAAGCCCGACCUCAGAUCUAAUUUGGAAAAUAUAAGCGCCCCCUUGAGUUCACCCAACAGUUCAUCCACGGUAGGUAUAGGAAAUUUGUCUUUUAUAGUUAUGGCAUUAAGUGCUCUGUAAUCGACGCACAACCUAUAUCCCCCAUCCUUCUUUUUCACGAUCAAUACCGGUGAAGAGAAAGGGCUGGUGCUGGGCCGAAUUAUUUUCUGUGCUAACAUUUCAGAAAUGAGUUUUUCAAUUUCAGACUUCUGGAACUGGGGGUAUCUGUAUGGUUUGACGUUCAAUGGUUUUGAACCCGGUUCUAGGUGGAUUAGAUGAUCUCUCUCCCUUUGUGGUGGAAGUCCACUAGGAUCCAUGAAAAUAUCACUAUAUUCUCGUACUGUUUUAAUAAUUCCAGCAUCAGAAGUAGAUUCACUGCCCAAUGUCUUAGAUUCACAACUCUCUAUUUGUUCAUAAUAACACAGGUAGGCUUCUGUUGAUUGAGCUACUAAACAUUUGAGUUGUCCCGUAGUCAAAGGCUCAUCAGAAAUCCAUGAAGAUCCUCUCCAAUUCACAGCCUUGCCUUCUCUGAAAAAUUGCAUGGUAAGAGAUGCAAAAUCAAAUGUGACAGGUCCUAAUAAUUUCAGACCUUGGAUUUCGAUCACUAAAUUUGCUCCUGCCAUGGGAAGUAGGAACAAGUCCAUCUUAGUGGUAAUGCCUUGAAUUUUCACUUCCACGUCCUUGCAUAGUUUGGCACAUGUUAAUUUCUCCCCGCUGCCUGUUGACACCUGAAAUGGUUGAAUCAGGUGAAUAGCCAACCGUAGACUGUAAGCUACAUCCUCCUGCAUAAAGUUGUGCGUAGAGCCUGUGUCUACUAGGACACUAAUUGAUUGACACUUCACAAAACCCUCCAAUCUGAUGGUAUUGGAACAAAUGUGUCCCUUGAAGGCAUGAUAGCUGAUUUCUGUUUGGCCCUCAGCACUAACGAUAUUAGUUGAAUCUAUGAACUCUUCCGGCUCUGGAUCUUCCAUGUCUACCACCUCAAUCAAGCAAGAUUCAUCCGCAGCUAAUCUGAACAUCCUACCUUUACACUUGUGGGAAGGGCCAUACUUUUCGUCACAGUUGAAACAGAGUCCUUUAGCUUGUCUUUCCUUUCUUUCAGCAGGUGAUAGUUUCUUAAAAAUCGGUUUAGGAGUACUGUCUACGGUAGUUUGACUGAUUUUGGUACCCAUGGGCAGUUCAUCUCCACUAUCCUUGGCUGAUAAUGGUUGGUAUCCAGACUUCUGAUAUUUUUCUUUAGAUUUAUAUGAGUAUCCUUUGGUUGACUUACUGAGUUGGUUUUCCACAAAGAGUGCCAGAUCAAAAGCUUCCUGUAGAUUACUUGGUUUAUCUCUUACUACCUCAGAUUGUAUUUCUUCCUUCAACCCCGAGAUGAACAUUUCCAGUACAAAAUAAUCUGGCAGACCUAGAACCUUGGUGCUCAGCUCUUCAAAUGCAUUUCUAUAAUCUGUUACAGACCCAUCUUGUGUUAAUUUACUGAGUUUUCCACCAUGUAAUGUCAAGUGAAGGUUGGUGAACUUUCUCAGGACAGCAACAACAAAAUCCUUCCAAUCAGUUAAAAGAUUGCUUGCCUCCAUCCAGGCAAACCAUUUUCUGGCCAGACCAUCCAUGUGAAACGAUGCUAAUAGUAAUUUCUGAUCUUCCGGAAUUUUAUUAAAUAUGAAAUAUCUUCGGACUUGGUAGAGCCAACCUUCCACAUCUGUGCCAUCAAAUCUUGGCAUAACUACUCUGAUAUUCUUUGCAGGUGUAUACUCGUCAUUUUCCAGGACACUUUGAGCAUAUUUAGGUCUGUCUAAAUCCACUAUCGAUUGGUAAAAUGGGGCCUGUACUCUGUCAUUAUCUUGGAUUUUAACAUCUUGGUUGGUACCUGGUUUAGAAGGCUUGAUUGUGUGAUUCUUUGAUAAUUGUCCCACCGUGGUGAUUAAGAGUUCCACUUGCUUGCUGAUUUCCAUGAAAUUGCUAUUAACUGAUUUUCUAAACUCUGCCAUUUCAUUUGUUUGGGAAACUUGUAGGUUCUGGAGGCGAACAAAAUCAGGAUUGGAAGACAAGUUGCUAUUAGUCAUGGUAAUCUUCGAUGUGGCAAUCCUGCACAAUUAUGAGAUCACAGUUGAAAGCACCAGUGAUGAAAUCCGUGAAAGAGAUGUCACGAGGGAACGUGUUCACCUGAGGAAAGGGGGAGCCCCAGGUCCGUGGAUCAACAGAUCGCGGAUACCCGGAGGCGAGAGCUGCGAGAUCAAUCCCUUAUUCCAAGACAGCCUCUCUAAUCGAAGCUAAAAGCUAGAUUAGGGGAGGGGCUUGGCACGGCAGCGAUUUCGGCACUAAACAGAAGCAGAUUAGGCGUUGUGGAAGCGGCGAUGGCAGGGAAGAACUCGACCUGGGUCGGAGGCGGCGAAUGGAAAAGUGAAUGGGGAAAUUUUCCUUCCAAAAAUCGAUGCCGAACAAAGAUUCACGAUAGUCUUUUAAUGUAACAGGACUUAAAUGUAAAUACUUAAAAUAAAAAGAGUUUUUUUGCAAAAUUCCCCAUAACUCCUGGGUUCGACCAGAUUGGCUUAGCCACCCUUGAAAUUGACCUGGUAAUCCUUCAUCCACGUCGGUCGUUUCCCCUCUCGGUUCGACGGCUCGCGUACGCCACUGACGCGGUCCGGUGCAGGACGAC
rnacentral:lncRNA from 1 species